AGUUUGAUCCUGGCUCAGGAUGAACGCUGGCGGCGUGCCUAACACAUGCAAGUCGAGCGAAGCGCUGUUUUCAGAAUCUUCGGAGGAAGAGGACAGUGACUGAGCGGCGGACGGGUGAGUAACGCGUGGGCAACCUGCCUCAUACAGGGGGAUAACAGUUAGAAAUGACUGCUAAUACCGCAUAAGCGCACAGGACCGCAUGGUGUAGUGUGAAAAACUCCGGUGGUAUGAGAUGGACCCGCGUCUGAUUAGGUAGUUGGUGGGGUAAAGGCCUACCAAGCCGACGAUCAGUAGCCGACCUGAGAGGGUGACCGGCCACAUUGGGACUGAGACACGGCCCAAACUCCUACGGGAGGCAGCAGUGGGGAAUAUUGCACAAUGGGGGAAACCCUGAUGCAGCGACGCCGCGUGAAGGAAGAAGUAUUUCGGUAUGUAAACUUCUAUCAGCAGGGAAGAAGAUGACGGUACCUGAGUAAGAAGCACCGGCUAAAUACGUGCC
rnacentral:rRNA from 1 species